GGCUGAACUCAGUACCAGCUCCUCAGAAGAGCAAUAGCAAGGCAGCAAGCAGUGUGUGCUGCUGAGUGCACAGCAGGGAGCAAGGGCCUUAGAGCCAGCUCCAGCUCUACCAUGGAGCUGUAAUGGUUUAUGUGCAGACGGCAGGGCUGGGGACCUGUGAUGAUACCAAAGGCUGGGACAUGUGCUCACAGGAAGACUUCCAGGCACGGAGGAGCCAGCUGGUGGCACUGUUGGUCUCGGGGUCCUUGGAGGGCUUCGAGAGCAUCUUGGACUGGUUGCUGUCCUGGGAUGUGCUGUCCUGGGAGGACUAUGAGGGCCUCUGUCUCCCUGGCCAACCUCUCUCCCAUUCUGCCAGGCGCCUACUGGACACAGUCUGGAACAAGGGUGAUUGGGCCUGUCAGAAGCUUCUUGAAGCUAUCCAGGAGGCCCAGGCCAACAGUCACACCCUUGAACUGCAUGACAGCUGGGACACUCACUCCCUUCAUCCAACCAGAGACCUGCAGAGUCACCGGCCAGCCAUUGUCAGGGAACUCUACAACCAUGUAGAAGCCGUGCUGGAGCUGGCAAGGGAGAGGGGAUUCCUGAGUCAGUACGAAUGUGACGAGAUCAGGCUGCCAAUCUUCACGUCAUCGCAGAGGGCAAGAAGGCUGCUUGAUCUUGCCACAGUGAAGGCAAAUGGACUGGCUGCCUUCCUUCUGCAGCACAUCAAGAAAUUACCUUCGCUGCCCCUGACUUAUGAAGCUGCUGAGUGUCAGAGGUUCAUCUCGAAGCUGAGGACCAUGGUGUCAGCUCAGUCUCGCUUCCUCAGUACUUACGACGGGUCGGAGAAUCUUUGCCUGGAGGAUAUAUACACGGAGAACAUCUUGGAGCUGCGGACGGAGGUGGGCACGGCUGGGGCCCUGCAGAAGAGCCCCGCCAUCCUGGGCCUGGAGGAACUCUUUGGUACCUAUGACCAUCUGAACAAGGAUGCAGACACCGUGCUGGUGGUGGGCGAAGCAGGCAGUGGCAAGAGUACUCUCUUGCAGCAGCUGCACUUGUUGUGGGCUACUGGGCAGAACUUCCAGGAGUUUCUCUUCGUUUUCCCGUUUAGCUGCCGGCAGCUGCAGUGCAUGGCCAAACCGCUGUCUCUAAGGACGCUGCUCUUUGAGCACUGCUGUUGGCCCGAUGCUGCGCAGCAGGAUGUCUUCCAGUUCCUCCUUGACCAUCCUCACCGUGUCCUGUUAACCUUCGACGGCUUGGAUGAGUUCAAGUUCCGGUUCACCGACCGGGAGCGUCACUGCUCCCCAACUGACCCCACCUCAGUCCAGACCCUGCUCUUCAACCUUCUUCAGGGGAACCUGUUGAAGAACGCCUGCAAGGUGCUGACCAGCCGUCCAGAUGCUGUGUCAGCGCUCCUCAGGAAGUUCGUCCGGACCGAGUGCCACCUCAAGGGCUUCUCUGAAGAAGGCAUCGAACUAUACCUGAGGAAGCACCACCGGGAACCCGGAGUGGCAGACCGCCUCAUCCGCCUGCUCCAAGCCACAUCGGCCCUGCACGGUUUAUGCCACCUCCCUGUCUUCUCAUGGAUGGUGUCCAGAUGCCACCAGGAACUGUUGCUGCAGAAUGGGGAGUUCCCAACGACCAGCACAGACAUGUACCUCCUGAUCCUACAGCAUUUCCUGCUGCACGCCUCCCCCCCAGAUUCCUACCCCCUCGGUCUGGGACCUCGGCUCCUUCAAAGCCGACUUUCCACCCUGCUGCACCUUGGCCACCUGGCUCUCCGGGGCCUGGCCCUGAGCUGCUAUGUGUUCUCAGCCCAGCAGCUCCAGGCAGCACAGGUUGACUCUGAUGACAUUGCUCUUGGGUUCCUGGUACGUGCCCAGAGCGUUGUGGCCGGGAACAAGGCACCCCUGGAAUUCCUGCAUAUUACCUUCCAGUGCUUUUUCGCCGCCUUCUACCUGGCAGUCAGUGCGGACACAGCGGCAGCCUCCCUCAGGUACCUCUUCGGCUGUGGCCGGCUGGGCAGCUCACUGCUGGUUAGGCUGCUGCCCACUCUGUGUAUCCAGGGCUCCAGAGUCAAGAAGGGCAGCAAAGUGGCUCUCCUACAGAAAGCUGAGCCACACAACUUGCAGAUCACAGCAGCCUUCCUAGCAGGUCUGUUGUCCAAGGAGCAUCGGGAUCUGCUGGUCGCAUGCCAGAUCCCCAAGAGGGUGCUACUCCAGCGCCACACAUGUGCCCGCUCAUGUCUGGCCCAAAGCCUUCGGGAACACUUCCACAACAUCCCACCUGCUGUGCCCGGUGAGGCCAAAAGCAUGCAUGCCAUGCCUGGCUUCAUUUGGCUUAUCCGGUGCUUGUAUGAGAUGCAGGAGGAGCAGCUGGCACAGGAGGCUGUGCGUCGCUUGGACAUUGGGCACCUGAAGUUAACAUUUUGCAGAGUGGGCCCUGCAGAGUGUGCUGCCCUGGCCUUUGUGCUGCGGCACCUCCAGCGGCCUGUGGCCCUGCAACUGGACCACAACUCUGUUGGAGAUAUUGGCGUGGAGCAGCUGCUGCCCUGCCUUGGUGUCUGCACAGCGCUGUAUUUGAGAGAUAACAACAUCUCAGACCGAGGUCUCUGCACACUGAUCGAGUAUGCUCUUCACUGUGAGCAGCUGCAGAAGCUCGCACUCUUCAACAACAAGCUCACGGAUGGCUCUGCCUACUCCAUGGCCAAGCUCCUCGCACUCAGGCAGAACUUCUUGUCACUGAGGGUGGGCAAUAAUCACAUCACGGGUGCUGGAGCCCAGGUGCUGGCCCAGGGACUCAAGAGCAACACCUCUCUGAAGUUCCUAGGGUUCUGGGGCAACAGUGUGGGCGAUAAGGGUGCCCAAGCUCUAGCUGAAGCUGUGGCUGAUCACCAGAGCAUGACGUGGCUCAGCCUGGUGGGGAACAACAUUGGCAGCAAGGGUGCCCAGGCCCUAGCCCUGAUGCUGGAGAAGAACAAGGCACUGGAGGAACUCUGCCUGGAGGAAAACCGUAUCUGUGACGAAGGGGUGUGUUCUCUCGCAGAAGGGCUGAAGAGAAAUUCAAGUUUAAAAAUCUUGAAGCUGUCCAACAAUGGCAUUACUUACCGGGGUGCAGAAGCCCUCCUGCAGGCCCUCGGCAGGAACAGUACCAUUCUGGAAGUUUGGCUCCGAGGGAACACCUUUUCUCUGGAGGAAGUUGAAGCCCUCAGCUCCAGUGACAGCAGACUCCUGUUGUGAUGUCUCAGCCUUGGAGGUGUGGACUUUAAAGGCUGAAGAGCUCCAGGCAACAUCCCUGUGCUACUUAGGGCUGGACUUUUCUCCUGGGAGCACUAGAGUCACCUUCUGAUAGCAGAAAAAGAUGCUCCAGUGCCCUCCAGAAUUGACUUCUCCCAAGGGUGCAUAAUGGUUCGCCUUAGUUAACUGAACUGGAUUAAGAGACACGUGGGACGAGAGGACCACACUUCUGUGGGGUGUCUAGAGAGGAUCCUCGUGUAGGACAGUGGCUGAGAGGGGGAAGGAACCUGACUGAGUGUGGGUAACACAAUCCACUGGGCGCCCCGUGGGAGGAAGCUGAAGGAGGAGGAAGAUAGCGUGUACUUGCAUGCAUGAGCCCCUCUUCUUCUUGAGUGAGGACAGCUGUGGCUGCUGCCAUCGCCUUUGCACAGCAGACUCCAGCUUCCUUGGCCUUCAACACGGACCCAUCAGCAGCAUCACUUCAGGGAGCUUCCAGGCCUCGAGUUGGAUGGAACUGCUGAGGUGUCCAGUCUCUUCCUUGGCCAGGGCAGCGAACAGAUUCCUGCCUCUCCAGACGGCUAUUGUUGGACUAUCCAGCCCCGAUGGAUGGCUCUAAGCAUGAGAUGAACACAAGAGGAUCCCUCUGAUCUGACAGUAUGUGGCCAGCUUCUAGCGGAAGGGCCAGCGUUCUAACGGGGGUCAGUCAGGACCAUGGAUGUCAACUCGGCGUGUUGGUGUGGAGAUAGACCUACAUGCAAGACACCCCUCUCCUCUUCUCUCUCUUGGAGAGGAAUAUUCAGGAAACAGCUCUUAGCUAUGUCUGGACUCAGCUCAUCCUCUAAGGCCAUCCCACUCUGGUCCCCUCCCUCACUCUGCAUGAGGCCCAACAGGACCUCAACCCAGACAGCAGACACAACACCUAUCCUGCUCUCCUUUCUUAACACAAACAACAGCCAUUUGCCCCCCACAGGAUGUUCUAGUUUUAUAAGAAAAAAAACAUGGCCAUACCCCAGCUGGGAUCACAGGUGGACUUCGGUUUCCAGUAGCAUCAAUUACUCUGUAGCCGCCACGCCUUUGGAGUCAGUUCCUGUCCCAGCUGCAGCUUUUUAGAGCUAAUCUGGGCCAGAAUUUCAAGCAGCUCCAGCAGGGCCUCGAGCUGGUGCCUGUGGACUGAGCGCUGACAAUGGACUUCUGAAACAUCCCUGACAGGCAGCCCCAUUUGAUCUGUGAUAGAUGCUUUAGGACGUAGAGUCAGGGGUUGGAGGUUUGCAGGGGA